rnacentral:rRNA from 1 species
AGGAACGACCAUAAAGAAGCCGUCGAGAGAUAUCGGAAGAGUUUUCUUUUCUGUUUUAUAGUCGUACUACCAUGGAAGUCUUUCGCAGAGAGAUAUGGUAGAUGGGCUAGAAGAGCAUGACAUAUACUGUUGUGUCGAUAUUUUCUCCUCGGACCUUGAAAAUUUAUGGUGGGGAUACGCAAACUUCUCAACAGGCCGUACCAAUAUCCGCAGCUGGUCUCCAAGGUGAAGAGUCUCUAGUCGAUAGAAUAAUGUAGGUAAGGGAAGUCGGCAAAUUAGAUCCGUAACUUCGGGAUAAGGAUUGGCUCUGAAGAUUGAGAUAGUCGGGCUUGAUUGGGAAACAAUAAUAUGGUUUAUGUGCUCGUUCUGGGUAAAUAGAGUUUCGAUCAUUUAUGGUUGUAACUUGUUCCCCGGAUAGUUAGUUACGUAUCCAAUUGUGGAACUUUCUUGCUAAAAUUUUUAAGAAUACUAGUUGGGUCAAACCAAUUAGUUCUUAUUAAUUAUAACGAUUAUCAAUUAACAAUCAAUUCAGAACUGGCACGGACUUGGGGAAUCCGACUGUCUAAUUAAAACAAAGCAUUGUGAUGGCCCUAGCGGGUGUUGACACAAUGUGAUUUCUGCCCAGUGCUCUGAAUGUCAAAGUGAAGAAAUUCAAGUAAGCGCGGGUCAACGGCGGGAGUAACUAUGACUCUCUUAAGGUAGCCAAAUGCCUCGUCAUCUAAUUAGUGACGCGCAUGAAUGGAUUAACGAGAUUCCUACUGUCCCUAUCUACUAUCUAGCGAAACCACAGCCAAGGGAACGGGCUUGGAAUAAUUAGCGGGGAAAGAAGACCCUUUUGAGCUUGACUCUAAUCUGGCAGUGUAAGGAGACAUAAGAGGUGUAGAAUAAGUGGGAGAUAUUAGACUUCGGUUUGGUAUCGCCAAUGAAAUACCACUACUCUUAUUGUUUCCUUACUUACUUGAUUAAAUGGAACGUGUAUCAUUUCCUAGCCAUUAUACGGAUAUAUUUAUUAUAUCUUAUGGUAUUGGGUUUUGAUGCAAGCUUCUUGAUCAAAGUAUCACGAGUUUGUUAUAUAAUCGCAAACAAAUUCUUUAAUGAGAGAUGCAUUUACUGUAUUAUUGAUUUGAAAAUUUGGUAUAACUCCAAUUACUCAGGUAUGAUCCAAUUCAAGGACAUUGCCAGGUAGGGAGUUUGACUGGGGCGGUACAUCUCUCAAAUAAUAACGGAGGUGUCCCAAGGCCAGCUCAGUGCGGACAGAAACCACACAUAGAGCAAAAGGGCAAAUGCUGACUUGA